CUCAAGAUAUCGCUGGUUGUCCUGAAUCCUUAGAAGGUAUACAGAGAUCUACUUAUAUCUAAGUAGCAGUUCCUGUGUAGUCCUGGAGAGGAGAGCGUUUUCUUCAGAAAAUCACCUUGACAUUGAAACCUCUGUGGAGUUUUUCACCUUGUUAACCUGAAGCAUUAUAUUGAGACAUCUCAGAAGCUUUCAUAUGACUGGCUCCAACAGGUCAACAUUCAGACAUACAAGAUGGAGAUCACCAUGUGAAACCUGGCCCUUGGAGUGCAGGUGAUCUUUGGGCUGACUUGCCUUCCCAUUCUGAGACCAAGGCCUAAGGAGCAGUCCUCAUUUGGGACCAGCUAUUUUUAGAGAAGAAAACAGAAAUAAAAGAAAAUGAGACCACUUACAAAAUUGCAUUUAAAUCUUCUGUUAGAAUAGAAUGCAUGGUACAUCUAUUCACUUUCCACUGGCAAAACAAGCUAGGGAGCAAACCCCAGAAA